UCCCUGGUAGUAUAUUGGUUGGUACACGCGCCUGUCAUACGCGUGAAGCUGGGUUCAACUCCCAGCCAGGGUG
rnacentral:tRNA from 1 species